rnacentral:pre_miRNA from 1 species
AAAAAGACAAACUCUAGGCUUCCGUGUCCAACAUUUGACCGUCCGUCUUAUUUGAAAAAAUUAUGAAAAAAAUUAAAAAGACAAGUCACGCAAAAAGUAUUAAUCAUGUUUUAUCAUCUAACAACAAUGAAAAUACUAAUUAUAAAAAAAUUUCAUAUAAGACGGACAGUCAAACGUUGGACACGGAAACCCAGAGUUUAUCUUUUU